GCUCUCCGGUGGCUUAGUGGUUAGAGCAUCCGUCUCGGAUUGGGGAGGUCAUGAGUUCGAUCCCCGGUCGAAUCA